rnacentral:piRNA from 1 species
UGGGAAAGUCAUGAGGGAAUCGUUUCUC